UACGAAGGGGGCGAGCGUUAUUCGGAAUCACUGGGCGUAAAGCGUGCGUAGGCGGUCUUGUAAGUUAGGAGUGAAAGCCCAGGGCUUAACCUUGGAAUUGCUCUUAAUACUGCAAGGCUAGAAUCUCGGAGAGGAUAGCGGAAUUUCCAGUGUAGCAGUGAAAUGCGUAGAUAUUGGAAGGAACACCAGUGGCGUAAGCGGCUAUCUGGACGAGUAUUGACGCUGAGGCACGAAAGCGUGGGGAUCAAACAGG
rnacentral:rRNA from 1 species